UAUAUGUAAAAAUUUUACAAUAUCAACUAAUUAAAAAACAAAAUUUUAAUUUAUUUUAAAUUAUAUUUAAUAUUAAAAAAAUACAAAAUCAUUUAAUUCUUUCUCUCUCUUUUCUCUAUCCUUUUUUCUCUGUAAACCCAGCCGACCCUAGAGAAUUCAUGGUUGCAUAACAAUGUGCUUGCGUGGGAUGGAGGUGUUGCUGAGAUGGAGCACAAUAGGGAGAGAUUCUGUGCGAUGAGCAUCUCAAAGUGGCGACAUGACAUGGAGGGUAGAAGUUGGAUGCUCGGCAAUGGCGUGGGGGAUUGACGAUGGCGUCGGGGAAGGCAUAGAUGGGUUCUAAGCUCACUUUCGUUAAGCUCGAUCACGAGGGGGUUGGGUUGGUAAACGAAUUCGAAGGCGGGGAUUUGGACUGGUGAAGGCCGAACUGGUGUGAUUUGGGCCUCCUUGAACUAGUAUGAUCUGGUGCGAUGGGGGGAUCUGGCGUGAUUGGGAGAUUGGGGGCAUGUGGACUAAUCUGGGUUUGGUAGGGAUCUGAACUUUGACAACUUCCAUGGCUGUAGAAUUGCAGAGCUUCAACUGAAGCUUUAAUGGCUUCACUUGACUUCUUCCAUGUCUCAAAUGGAUCUGGGUUUGGCUCCACGACAAACUCCAACGACCAUGGUGUUUUGAAAAUGAGGAUUUGACCAUGUUUUUCUUUUUCCUUUGUCAUUUUGAUUUCUUGAGAUUUCUGAGUUAUUGACUUUUUUUCUUUGAGAUUUCUUGAGUUUAUUGUCAUUAAGUUUGUUGUUGAUUUUAGAUAAGAGAUUUUAGCAUUUUCUUGAGAUUGUUAAUGAUUUUGGUUAUUUGGUCAUUGAAGAUGUGUAAUUGUUGGUUA